UUUGCCGAUUUAGAAGUAUUUUAUAUAAAAAGUUACUUAGGUUUGCUAGGAAGGUUCUCUACAACAGAGCCAUCCUAAAAAGUCUACUGCUUCAAGAUGGCGGCUGUCUACUAACGCAUUUAGUGUCUGUCAUUUUGCAUCUAGUUAUAUCUAUAUACAGUACAUGUGAUAUCUACCAUGUCUACCAUAUCUACCAUAACAUGCGGGCGUAGUUUGAAGGCUAUCGGCAACAACAUGUAUUAUUGGAGCUACCUAGCAUCGCGUUUGUUCGGCGUCACAACUUUCUUGCCUCCUCCACACUCCUGCUCUGCUCUGUCGUCUCGGCUGCAUGGAUGCGAGAGGGACCAGUCUGCUCAGGGGUGAUGCUAACCAGCAACACCUGUGGCUGAUUAAUAGUGGCUUUUUAAGCCCAGGCCAAACAUGCUUCAGUUGCCAGACGAUUCCAGCACUAGAAUUUCAUAUCCUCACUCCUGAGAAGACCAUGCUUCCCCGAGUACUCCUUUAACAGUCUGAUGCAAACAAAUGGAUUCUCAUCUGUGCAUGGAACAUCAUGCCACAUAUCGUCUGCAAGAAAACACACAAACAAGGUUUAAGCAAGUUCCACAAACAGAAAAUGCCCUGCAUGUAGGGUUUAUUUUAAUUUGGUUUCUAUGGCAAACAUCAGUUUGGAUUAAUUAAACCUGAAAAGGCAUUUCA